UGCUGCGCAGCUACCAUGCAGUCGAGCGGUAGCACAGAGAGCUUGCUCUCGGGUGACGAGCGGCGGACGGGUGAGUAAUGUCUGGGAAACUGCCUGAUGGAGGGGGAUAACUACUGGAAACGGUAGCUAAUACCGCAUAACGUCGCAAGACCAAAGUGGGGGACCUUCGGGCCUCAUGCCAUCAGAUGUGCCCAGAUGGGAUUAGCUGGUAGGUGGGGUAACGGCUCACCUAGGCGACGAUCCCUAGCUGGUCUGAGAGGAUGACCAGCCACACUGGAACUGAGACACGGUCCAGACUCCUACGGGAGGCAGCAGUGGGGAAUAUUGCACAAUGGGCGCAAGCCUGAUGCAGCCAUGCCGCGUGUGUGAAGAAGGCCUUCGGGUUGUAAAGCACUUUCAGCGGGGAGGAAGGCGGUGAGGUUAAUAACCUCAUCGAUUGACGUUACCCGCAGAAGAAGCACCGGCUAACUCCGUGCCAGCAGCCGCGGUAAUACGGAGGGUGCAAGCGUUAAUCGGAAUUACUGGGCGUAAAGCGCACGCAGGCGGUCUGUCAAGUCGGAUGUGAAAUCCCCGGGCUCAACCUGGGAACUGCAUUCGAAACUGGCAGGCUAGAGUCUUGUAGAGGGGGGUAGAAUUCCAGGUGUAGCGGUGAAAUGCGUAGAGAUCUGGAGGAAUACCGGUGGCGAAGGCGGCCCCCUGGACAAAGACUGACGCUCAGGUGCGAAAGCGUGGGGAGCAAACAGGAUUAGAUACCCUGGUAGUCCACGCUGUAAACGAUGUCGAUUUGGAGGUUGUGCCCUUGAGGCGUGGCUUCCGGAGCUAACGCGUUAAAUCGACCGCCUGGGGAGUACGGCCGCAAGGUUAAAACUCAAAUGAAUUGACGGGGGCCCGCACAAGCGGUGGAGCAUGUGGUUUAAUUCGAUGCAACGCGAAGAACCCUUACCUGGUCUUGACAUCCACAGAACUUACCAGAGAUGCAUUGGUGCCUUCGGGAACUGUGAGACAGUGCUGCAUGGCUGUCGUCAGCUCGUGUGUGAAAUGUUGGGUAAGUCCCGCAACGAGCGCACCCUUAUCCUUGUUGCCAGCGGUUCAGGCCGGGACUCAG
rnacentral:rRNA from 1 species